GACGAAGGAUGCAAGCGUUAUCCGGAUUCAUUGGGUUUAAAGGGAGCGUAGGUGGUCUUAUAAGUCAGUGGUGAAAUCUCGCAGCUUAACUGCGAAACUGCCAUUGAUACUGUAGGACUUGAGUAUAGUUGCUGUGGGGCGGAAUAUGACAUGUAGUGGUGAAAUACUUAGAGAUGUCAUAGAACACCGAUUGCGAAGGCAGCUCACAAAAACUAUAACUGACACUGAGGCUCGAAAGUGCGGGGAUCAAACAGG
rnacentral:rRNA from 1 species